CAGCGAAAUGCGAUAAGUAAUGUGAAUUGCAGAAUUCAGUGAAUCAUCGAAUCUUUGAACGCACCUUGCGCCCUUCGGCCAUUCCGAAGGGCAUGCCUGUUUGAGUAUCAUGAACACCUCAACUCUCAUGGUCUGCCAUGAUGAGCUUGGACUUUGGGGGUCUUGCCGGCUUGACUGUUGGCUCCUCUCAAAUGAAUCAGCUUGCCAGUGUUUGGUGGCAUCACGGGUGUGAUAACUAUCUACGCUCGUGCUCUUCCACCGGGUAACCUUCAGCGAUGAAGGUUCGCUGGAGCUCAUAGACGUCUCUCCCCAGGGAAGACAGCUUUUGAACGUUUGAUCUCAAAUCAGGUAGGACUACCCGCUGAACUUAAGCAUAUCAAUAAGCGGAGGAAAAGAAACU
rnacentral:rRNA from 1 species